rnacentral:rRNA from 1 species
GACGAACGCUGGCGGCGUGCCUAAUACAUGCAAGUAGAACGCUGAAGGCGGAGCUUGCUUCUCUGGAUGAGUUGCGAACGGGUGAGUAACGCGUAGGUAACCUGCCCGGUAGCGGGGGAUAACUAUUGGAAACGAUAGCUAAUACCGCAUAAGAGUAGAUGUCGCAUGACAUUUGCUUAAAAGGUGCAAUUGCAGCACUACCAGAUGGACCUGCGUUGUAUUAGGUAGUUGGUGAGGUAACGGCCCACCAAGGCAACGAUACAUAGCCGACCUGAGAGGGUGCUCGGCCACACUGGGACGGAGACACGGCCCAGACUCCUACGGGAGGCAGCAGUAGGGAAUCUUCGGCAAUGGACGGAAGUCUGACCGAGCAACGCCGCGUGAGUGAAGAAGGUUUUCGGAUCGUAAAGCUCUGUUGUAAGAGAAGAACGAGUGUGAGAGUGGAAAGUUCACACUGUGACGGUAUCUUACCAGAAAGGGACGGCUAACUACGUG